rnacentral:rRNA from 1 species
CGCGCAGGCGGGUUUGCAAGUCAGAGGUGAAAUCCUACAGCUUAACUGUAGAACUGCCUUUGAUACUGCUAAUCUUGAGUAUGGAAGAGAGAGACGGAAUUCCAGGUGUAGUGGUGAAAUACGUAGAUAUCUGGAAGAACACCAGUUGCGAAGGCGGUCUCUUGGUCCAAUACUGACGCUGAGGCGCGAAAGCGUGGGGAGCAAACA